AAUAUUCGUGACACCGAAUAGAGAGGAAGAAAGAGAGAGAGAGAGAGAGUGCACUGAUGCUGAUGCACUGAAGAAUAUUCCUGCAUUUAUCAGUGUUGUUGGUGCGCACUUGUCUCUUUUCGCAUUUUUUCAUAAUUCAGAAUCCAAAUCUCCUUCGCCGAAAGUGGUGGACAGUUUUAAUUAGACUUUUGUUCAUUACGAAGAGAAGUCAACAUGACCGGUGGAAACAGCACUGAAAAAUCAGCUAGUAAUCCUUUGGAGCAAUUUGUAUUGCUUGCGAAAACUGCAAAAGGGGCUGCUGCCAUAGAACUUAUAAGGCAAGCUGUUGAAACACCUGGCGUUCAUGUUUUUGGUGAAUUAUUGGACAUGCCAAAUAUCAAAGAGUUAGAGAAUGGACCUUACGUUCAGUAUUGGAAUACUCUAAAUCUGUUUGCGUACGGCACCUAUAAAGAUUAUUUGGAAAAUAAGGAGAAAGUAUUAGAAUUAACUCCUACGCAAAAGAAGAAACUUCAACAUCUUACAAUUGUCACUCUUGCUACAAAAAACAAAUGUAUACCUUAUUCGGUACUGUUGGAAGAGUUAGAUAUAAAGAAUGUCAGAGAUCUAGAGGAUUUGAUUAUCGAAGCAAUAUACGCAGAUAUAAUUCAUGGGAAAUUAGACCAAAAAAAUUCACAGUUAGAAGUAGAUUAUGCCGGUCUUGGACGAGACGUUCGACCAGGUGAUACUGGUGUAGUAGCUGAAACCCUAGCUGCCUGGGGUGAAGCGUGCGAUACAGUUUUAUCUUGUAUCGAGGAUCAAAUCUCUAGAGCUAAUGUUGAGAAACAAAAAGCUACUUAUCAUAAAGAAAGAAUACAGAGAGAUAUUUCUAAUAUAAAGAAAUCUCUCAUGGCUCAAGCAGGAGGUAGUAACAUUCAAGAAGCUGAUGUAGCUGGCGGUAGUUCUGGCGCAGGAGGAAGUGAAUCGGGUAGAGAAGCCAUGCCGGUGCUAUCAGAAAAGAAGAAGUUACAGAAGGUCAAAUGUAUCAAAGUCAGUGGUAAGUUUUGGAAGACAUAAAUUCAAUAGUCCUUUCUUGCGCAAUGCGCAUUCUUUGCAUCAUUUAUUCGUUCGUUGAAUCAGAUUUUACAUUUCAAAUUUCAUGUCAAAAAAUUGAGGAUAAAAAUGCCAUUAUUAUCACUGAAUUGAAAGUGAUGGAAAAAUUAUCGGUUAUUUUUGUGUUAACUUUUUAAUUAGAUUAUAUUGAAUAAUGAAUGAAAAGAGUAAUAUUGAAACAAAUUUAUUAAUACAAACAAUGGAUAAUUCAUGUCGAAUCGAAAAUCCUUUGUGUAUCUAAAAUAUCGAAUUUAUAGAGAUUUUUAGAAAGUAGGAAAAUAAUAUUUUAUAGAACAUGCUCUAAAUAUAAUAUCGAACAGCAUGCAAAUGUAUAAAACUAUUCGAUUUUAUGUAAUGUUUAUGGGGAUUACCAUGCUAUAACAGCAAAUAAAAUCGAGAGUAUUUUUUCUUAUUGAAAUACAUUUGUAAGAAUGAUUUAUUGACACAACACAUAUUAUCUAGAACUUUUUGGAAAAACGAGGUCGAUUUCUUUAAUUAAUAGUUGCAAUGUGUUUAGUAAUAUACAUACACAUACAUAUUUUAUACGCACAUACAUACUUUUCUGUGAUUAUUUCAAAUAUCAUAGUUAAUAUUUGCUGUAUAAAUAAUUUCGGUAGUUGUUCGUACAAAAUUUAAGCGUUUAUUCACAAAGUUAAUCAUUUAUUUAUUUAAUACGAACUGAAUAAAGAGUUUUAAUAUGUACAUACAAAGUAUAUCUAGCGAGAUAUAUCUGACGAUUGUCUUUACAUCGAGAAUUUGAAAACAAUGAAUCUUUUCUUUGCAACAAAGAUAAUUUUGUAGGGCGUGAAGAAUUUAAUUAGGAUUUGACUCUAGAUGAAAAUUUGAUAAAUAAUGCAAAAUGCAUUGCAUAUUUAUCAAUAUAUACGUGCCUACCCAUUGCCAGUUAUCACAUAAAACGGUACGCCCCAUUGUGACGAGUUGGUCGAUGCUUACAUGUACUUCCAACGAUAGUAUCGUUCGUACUGUUUGCGUUCAGGCUUUACAGAUUCUCAUUUCGUAAGGAUUUGUAAUCACUAAACAAUUUACUGACGGAACAAAACAUAACUAGUCGGAGAGAUUGUUUUUGAGGAAACUCGUAUGUUCAAAAAAUCAUGAAGGUAUACUACUGAUGUAGUGAAAAAAAUGUCAGUCGUCCGUUGAAGAGCGUUGUAAUUGCUAUUCGAAUAAAAGGAUAAUAUUUUUUA